GACGAACGCUGGCGGCGUGCUUAACACAUGCAAGUCGAACGGAAAGGCCCUGCUUUUGUGGGUUGCUCGAGUGGCGAACGGGUGAGUAACACGUGAGUAACCUGCCCUUGACUUUGGGGUAACUUCAGGAAACUGGGGCUCAUACCGGAUAGGAUCUCCUGCUGCGUGGUGGGGGUUGGAAAGUUUCGGCGGUUGGGGAUGGACUCGCGGCUUAUCCGCUUGUUGGUGGGGUAGUGGCUUACCAAGGCUUUGACGGGUAGCCGGCCUGAGAGGGUGACCGGCCACAUUGGGACUGAGAGACGGCCCAGACGCCUACGGGAGGCAGCAGUGGGGAAUAUUGCACAAUGGGCGGAAGCCUGAUGCAGCAACGCCGCGUGCGGGAUGACGGCCUUCGGGUUGUAAACCGCUUUCGCCUGUGACGAAGCGUGAGUGACGGUAAUGGGUAAAGAAGCACCGGCUAACUACGUG
rnacentral:rRNA from 1 species